CCUACGGGAGGCAGCAGUGAGGAAUAUUGGUCAAUGGACGAGAGUCUGAACCAGCCAAGUAGCGUGAAGGAUGACUGCCCUAUGGGUUGUAAACUUCUUUUAUAUGGGAAUAAAAUGUUCCACGUGUGGGCUUUUGUAUGUACCAUAUGAAUAAGGAUCGGCUAACUACGUGCCAGCAGCCGCGGUAAUACGGAGGUUCCGAGCGUUAUCCGGAUUUAUUGGGUUUAAAGGGAGCGUAGGUGGAUUGUUAAGUCAGUUGUGAAAGUUUGCGGCUAAACCGUAAAUUUGCAGUUGAAACUGGCAGUCUUGAGUACAGUAGAGGUGAGCGGAAUUCGUGGUGUAGCGGUGAAAUGCUUAGAUAUCACGAAGAACUCCGAUUGCGAAGGCAGCUCACUGGACUGCAACUGACACUGAGGCUCGAAAGUGUGGGUAUCAAACAGGAUUAGAUACCCCGGUAGUC
rnacentral:rRNA from 1 species